AGUAGCAAUUAUUGAACUUCGUGCAAAAUAGAUGAUAUUCGCUACCUGAUAUUCGCCAGCUACAGAAUAUUACCAUUUACUGAACGAUUAGUAACCUUCUAUCGACUGCGAAAGUGUUGAAAAUUUUCCGAACAAAAGUAAAAAAGAUAAAUGAAGAACAACUGGACAAGAGUUGCGUCGAGAGUGCUGUAGUUUUAAUUUACUUCGUCGAAGGAAAAUGAAUUAUCAUGUCACUGUUAAAUCAAACACUGUGAAUCUCGCAAGACUUUCGUAAAAAAUGCAGUGCUAACAUAUUAAUGAAAUACCGAACGACACAAACAAUCAAAUGUUGAACGUCGGCAUUCGUGAAGCGAAUAAAGAUCAAAAUCCUCUCGGUUGAAGAUUGUCGCAUGGGAUUAACGAGUAGUAAACAAGUAUGAUUCGUCGAACAAGGGCCAGCUAAACAGGAAGGAAGGGACGAUGAUUGGACAAACGAUCUUGUCGAAAAUGCAAUCGUAUGCACUGUUGACGCAUCACGAGAAGAUAAUUCAUUGCUCGGCCAUGUGACUGGCAUUAACUAAUUCAGUGCUCUAAUAUGACCGACAUGGGGUCGUGAACCCAUGGAACAUCCGUGGUGACAUUUGUCAAGACCUUUUCCAACACGGCUCGAUCGUCUAAUCUUUUGCAGGUCCACCGCGAAUCUUGACUUCUCCUUAUUAGUGAAUAUAGAAAAUCGUAUUAAAGAGUCGACUGCAAAAGUUAUUAAUUCUAUUGGCGUUAUUCACAAGCUUUCGCAGUCAUUUUACUUAUUUAUUUGAACUAUGACAAUGAUGUCUGAUAAGAAGAUAUCAAUUAU